AGAGUAAGCUGGCUAAUCUUGCUACUCAGAAGGAUGGAGUGAUGUGGCCACAUUCAGUCUGCUACAGCAGCAUAACAUCAUCCAUCAUUGUGGGACAGCUGGACGACACCAUCCUGGUGUUCAGAGUGGAAUAGUGUGUACAUUUGCUGCUGGGUCGGGUCAACGAUGCUGAGGAUGUGGGGGACAAGCAUGACGCAGAAGGAGAGCACCAGCAUUAAUAUCGAGUUGGCCAAGCAACAGCACCAGUCUGGCCUGCAGGAGCCCAAUACAGAACCAUCCUUUCCCUCCCCUGAUCCCUAGCUCCUCCCACUGGACCUCCGGCCUCAAACAGCAUCGUUACACAAGUCUGUGCAAUAAAUCCUCAGCACGUCAAGUUUUCACGCGCUGUUAUGAACAACCGAAAUAUCCGUGUCGAGAUUUCCCCAAGCAAGCCCGAGUAGUUUUGUUUAGCUCUAGUGCCAGAGUGGGAUGAGUGUUACCGAAGCGAGACGAUAUAGCAGCACUUAUGGUAACGCUAACAGUUAACGCUGACAGUUAGUUCCUGCUGUGGACAUCACGAAGAAUCUCACGAAGAAUUAAACGUUGAAUAAUUUGUUUAAUUCUUUAUAAGACAGCUAUAUAUUCAGCAAGGAACGAGAGAAAAAAAGGAACAAUUGAAAUGAUUCAUUCAGAAGUAUAUCUGCUGUAGAUAGUUAGGACAGUAGUAGCGUUACAGACUGUCCUCAGCGCACAAUAUAUUCAUGUGGUGCACCACAGACGCAAAUUCCCCCCAUUAUUGAAAACAAGUUGCUAAAAGUAAACACGUCCGGUUAUGUACUCCGAGCCCAAAGGGCAUUGCAUUUAAUUGGGACAAAAGAAGGCUAAAAAACAUGACACCAGUUUUGUUGUAUGCUCCAGUACACCCUUCGACUCUCAGCUCGAAGUAAAUCAGAACUCAAACUCGGCCCUUAACAAUAUCCGCAAGGCCAGCAUAUCAGCUCAGCUUCUGAGCUUCAGCAACUGCUAAGCUCAGAAGACCAAGGAGUAGUGAAAGGCUCAGCCAAAUCAAAGUCCAGCGAUGUGAGGGUGAGACAGCCUUCCCAUGUCCUCGUAUUGCAACAUGAAGGACAUUUUAGCUGAAACUAACAAGGGAGAGAACUGUAGAUCUGCACCAGCACAGAGCACCAGCAUUGAUAUCGAGUUGGCCCAGCAACCGCACGAGUCCCGCCUGCAGAAGCCCCAGUCCAGAACAACCCUUCCCCUCCCCUGACUUCUAACUCCUUCCCCUUGACCUCCUGACUGAAAAACUCAGCAUCGUUGAACAACUCCGUUCUGCAGGAAAUUCUGAGCAUGAUUCUGGUCAAACGUCGAGUUGUCCACACAUAAGCCUGGGUAGUUUUGUUAAGCUAGAGUUCCGCGUGGGCCUGAGAGGGACGAGUUUUACAGACACGAAAAGUUAUGGCAGUAGUUAUGGUAACGCUAACAGUCAGUUGUUGCUGUUGGACAUCACAACAAAUAUCCUGAAGAACAAAAAGUUCAAUAACUUGUUCCAAUCUUUAUGGGACAAACAGAAAUUGAACGGGAGAAAAUCAAGGAACAAUAAAAGCGUAAGCUUUCCUAGUGGGAUGCUUCUGCUGUUGAUAGUUUAGACGACAGUAGGGUUACGGACUGCCCCAGAUUGUCCAUUCAGCGGCCAAAAUAUCAUAAUAGAACGGACUUUUGGCAAUAUUACCGACAAAGAAAGGCAGUAAUGACUUGGUUGUGAAUACCCAGAGCACGAUACAUCCAUGCUGACACAAAAAGGCAGUAAUGACUUAGUGGUGAAAACCUAGAGCACGCUACAUCCUUGCUGACAAAGAAAUGCAGUAAUGACUUGGUUGUGAAUACCCAGAGCAUGCUACAUCCAUGCUGACACAGAAAGGCAGUAAUGACUAUGCUGUGAACACCCAGAGCAUGCUACAUCCAUGCUGACACAGAAAGGCAGUAAUGACUAUGCUGUGAACACCCAGAGCAUGCUACAUCCAUGCGGAAACAGAAAGGCAGUCACGACUAUGCUGUGAACACCCAGAGCACAAUAUAUCCAUGCUGACACAGAAAGGCAGUAAUGACUAUGCAGUGAACACCCAGAGCAAGAUAUAUCCAUGCUGACACAGAAAAGCAGUAAUGACUAUGCUGUGAACACCCAGAGCACAAUACAUCAUUUGCUGACACAGAAAGGCAGUAAUGACUUGGCUCUGAACACAGAGCACAAUACAUCCAUGCUGACACAGAAAGGCAGUAAUGACUUGGCUGUGAACACAGAGCAACAUACAUCCGUGCUGACACAGAAAGGCAGUAAUGACUUGGCUGUGAACACAGAGCUUAAUAUAUCCAUGCUGACACAGAAAGGCAGUAAUGACUUGACUGUGAACACAGAGCACAAUACAUCCAUGCUGACACAGAAAGGCAAUUAUGACUUGGUUGUGAACACAGAGCACAAUACAUCCUUGUUGACACAGAAAAGCAGUAAUGACUUUGCUGUGAACUCAGAGUACGAUACAUCCAUGCUGACACAGAAAGGCAGUAAUGACUUGGAUGUAAACACCCAGAGCACAAUACAUCCAUACUGACACAGAAAGACAGUAAAGACUUGGUUGUAAACACCCAGAGCACAAUACAUCCAUAAUGACACAGAAAGGCAGUAAAGACCUUGUUGUAAACACUAAGAGAUCCAUACAUACAUGGGGUGUGCCACAGCCGCAAAUUACGCCAACUAUUGUGAACAAGGUGCUUAAAGUGAACAUGUCUGGGUUUGGUAUGAGGACUUAGCACUCCAAGCCCAGAAGGCCUCGCAUUGAAUUGAUGCAAGAGAAGGCUUUGAAAAAUAUUAGCAGUUUUGUUGUGUGGUCCAGUACGCCCUUCGACUCUCAACCUGAAGAAAGCAUAACUCAAACUCGGCUCUUAGCAAUAUCAGCAAGGCCAGCAUGUCAUCUUAGCUUCUUGAACUUCAGUGAACUUUACUAGCAAACAUGACAAACGUCAUUGAAAUGAAAGUCGAUGACAACCCCCUUCUUGCACAAAUACUACAACUUGCUGAAGAAAAUCAGCAUGAAGACGUCUUGCGUCAGACUACCAAGCCUCCUAUCAAUAUAUCCUCCCAUGUUGGCUACAUCAACACUUCCAACAGCAGAGCCUUGGUGAGUUUGACUUCCGUCUCAGCAUCCAUGUCGCUUAGCAACAAUUGAAUGAUGGGCGUCGACAAAUUAGGCCGGACAAGUCGCUCAAACUGAAACGAUCUGAUCCAACAGGUAGAGCAAGCGUUGCGUGACACGUCCGUUAAUGUGACUGACCUCGAUAUGUUGUUCUCGAAUAAUGUGAACCUUAGGACUGGAGGGCAGUAUGCGAUUGACGCCAUUCAACAAAAGUUGUUGUCGGAAUUCUCGGGUUUGGGGUGGCGCCUUCGGCGUCGGGACUCACUCCAUCUCUGUCUAUGGCCCAGUCGCAGCAGCAGCAACAAGAACAAUAAGUAGUAUCUUAGCGGUGUUCUGGGAUAUGCGGCUUCAUGUAUGUGCUUAAAUUGUCAUCCCAGACUAGCCUGUGCAGAUUGCACAUAAAUUAAGUCCUAUUAAAUUGUCAUCCCAGAUUAGCCUGUGCAGACUGCACAUACAUUAAGUCCUAUUUAAGUGUCAUCCCAGAUUAGCCUGUGCAGACUGCACAUACAUUAAGUCCUAUUAAAGUGUCAUCCCAGAUUAGCCUGUGCAGACUGCACAUACAUUAAGUCCUAUUAAAGUGUCAUCCCAGAUUAGCCUGUGCAGACUGCACAUACAUUAAGUCCUAUUAAAGUGUCAUCUCAUAUUAGCCUGUGCAGACUGCACAUACAUUAAGUCCUUUUGUUUCCCAGAAUGUGGCUCAUAUAGUUCACUUAACAUCAGUAUUUUCCGUUGUCUGCCUGAUUGAGGAAAAGUUCAUAGCAUCAAAUGGGAAUUCUGUGUCUUUAUAUUGAUCAAACUUGGUAAAUGAAUGCAAAUAACACUGGAUUUAAUAUAAAUUUUAAUCUUGGUAUGUCAGGGCAUAGUUUGUCUAUUUUGCGGCCGAAAUUCAGCUCCUGAACCAAAAGUUUCUCCAUGCAUGAAAACACCCGCUUUUCUAUUCCAUUUUAGUAAAACAAUUAUUUAAAUGCUUUCAGUACAUUAUAAAAUUAUUGUCUUCAUUAUUUUUCGAUAUUUAUUUAAAUUCUUGGAAUCUGUUUUAAGAGCCGGUUCCUACAGGACCCGAUGCACUGAUUAUGCACAUGUGACUCUUGUACGCAGCUGAAUAAAAGGCUCUCUGGUCAGCUGGACCUGGACGCCAAGGGACACUUCCUGCCCAAGUACCGUGAGGCAAAUGCUCAAUGAGUUCUACCCGAAGUGUGCAGCGUCUCUAGACCUGUGGCUCCAGACUGUCUUACCCAGGGGCCAAGAUUACUUUAUCUGCAAGGGACACAUUUCUGGGAUGCCCCGAGGUCUUUUUUUCUGUUUACAGAGGCCUUAUACUCCCAGGUUCCCCAAAUACAACUCAGCCACAACAUCCUAAUCGGACAACUUGUCAAUCAACAUGGAACAGUACCCAGAAAAUCACGACCAGCUCAUGAACUGUGUAACUGCGCCAAGCGUGACCCUUCAGAGAAAGGGGCUUCCAUGCCGAAGGUCAAAUUGUGGCCGUUGUUCAGUGUCAAGCGAAAUCCUAGCAACCAAGCCACGUCAGCACAGCAGCAAAAACAGUUUCAGCAGCAGUCGUAUACUAAACAUCAACAACAGUGGUGCAUAUGCAUUAAACUACGAGAGUAAACAAGUUGACUGCGUAAUGUGGCAUCAAAGUCUGCAAGGAGAAACCAUGCAAUUGAGGAAGCCAAGAAACCAUGUGAUAAUUUCAAGCAGCUUACCUACUCUUGAAACCCGGAUAGCAAAGCAUUGAGAUUGUUCUGGAAGCAUUUGUAGUCACAGCUCAUUAAGCAUCCCCCUGAAGCAGGACCCUCAGUCUACGGACGCCAAUUGACGAAAUAAAACUUGUCAUUCAGCAACACAGCAAGUUGCAGCAGUUGUUACCAUCUUGACCCCAGUCAAAACUAAGAGCUCAGAGACAAUCAGCAACACAGCCAGUUGCAGCAGUUGUUACCAUAUUGACCCCAGUCAAAAGUAGGAGCUCAGAGACAAUCAGCAACACAGCCAGUUGCAGCAGUUGUUACCAUAUUGACCCCAGUCAAAACUAAGAGCUCAGAGACAAUCAGCAACACAGCGAGUUGCAGCAGUUGUUACCAUAUUGACCCCAGUCAAAACUAAGAGCUCAGAGACAAUCAGCAACACAGCCAUUUGCAGCAGUUGUUACCAUAGUGACCCCAGUCAAAACUAGGAGCGCAGAGAUAAAUACUGUUUAAGAUAGAUAUUCUCUACAUUCCUCAUGGUCAGGCAACACAGCCAGUUGCAGCAGUUGUUACCAUAUUGACCCCAGUCAAAACUAAGAGCUCAGAGACAAUCAGCAACACAGCCAGUUGCAGCAGUUGUUACCAUAUUGACCCCAGUCAAAACUAAGAGCUCAGAGACAAUCAGCAACACAGCCAGUUGCAGCAGUUGUUACCAUAUUGACCCCAGUCAAAACUAGGAGCUCAGAGACAAUCAGCAACACAGCCAGUUGCAGCAGUUGUGACCGUAUUGACCCCAGUCAAAACUAGGAGCUCAGAGACAAUCAGCAACACAGCCAGUUGCAGCAGUUGUUACCAUAUUGACCCCAGUCAAAACUAAGAGCUCAGCGACAAUCAGCAACACAGCCAGUUGCAGCAGUUGUUACCAUAUUGACCCCAGUCAAAACUAGGAGCUCAGAGACAAUCAGCAACACAGCCAGUUGCAGCAGUUGUUACCGUAUUGACCCCAGUCAAAACUAGGAGCUCAGAGACAAUCAGCAACACAGCCAGUUGCAGCAGUUGUUACCAUAUUGACCCCAGUCAAAACUAGGAGCUCAGAAACAAUCAGCAACACAGCCAUUUGCAGCAGUUGUUACCAUAGUGACCCCAGUCAAAAAUAGGAGCUCAGAGACAAUCAGCAACACAGCCAGUUGCAGCAGUUGUUACCAUAGUGACCCCAGUCAAAACUAGGAGCUCAGAGACAAUCAGCAACACAGCCAGUUGCAGCAGUUGUUACCGUAUGACCCCAGUCAAAACUAGGAGCUCAGAGACAAUCAGCAACACAGCGAGUUGCAGCAGUUGUUACCGUAUGACCCCAGUCAAAACUAAGAGCUCAGAGACAAUCAGCAACACAGCGAGUUGCAGCAGUUGUUACUGUAUGACCCCAGUCAAAACUAAGAGCUCAGAGACAAUCAGCAACACAGCCAGUUGCAGCAGUUGUUAUCAUAUUGACCCCAGUCAAAACUAGGAGCUCAGAGACAAUCAGCAACACAGCCAGUUGCAGCAGUUGUUACCGUAUGACCCUAGUCAAAACUAGGAGCUCAGAGACAAUCAGCAACACAGCAAGUUGCAGCAGUUGUUACGGUAUGACCCCAGUCAAAACUAAGAGCUCAGAGACAAUCAGCAACACAGCCAGUUGCAGCAGUUGUUACCGUAUGACCCCAGUCAAAACUAGGAGCUCAGAGAUAAAUACUGUUUAAGAUAGAUAUUCUCUACAUUCCUCAUGGUAUGUUAAGCACAAACUCUGACAGAUCUCAUCUUUGAACUUUGUAACGGGCGAAAAAUAAAUGACCUUGUUCAGAAUGAAAUGGCAGAAUGACAAAGCACAACAAUUUAAGGGGAAACCAUAAAUUAAUGUGACCAGCAAAGAUGUGUUCAAAGCAAAACAAUAUGUCAUGUCUUUGGGGACUGAAUUUUGAUGGUGUCAUUCAUUAAACAUUGAAUAUUUUUGUUAAAUAUAGUUAAAUAUAAUGAUAUAAAGGAUAUUUGAUUAAGGCGUGUAUGUUAAUUAUUACUUUAAGCACAAAUAUAGCACGUCUAUCAAUUACUUAUGAAACUUGCACCUGAUAAUGAUAAAUGCAUGAAAAUUAAAUUGUACUUAAGACAUUAUUUCAUACGUUGAGCUUAAGAAAAUUGAAAGCUGUUUAAAUUAUGCUGGUAACAUUAUAUACAAAAUAUGUAUUGGAUUAUAUUCAUGUAAAAAACAAGUUUCAGUUUUCUGUUGUAACAUGCAAUAUAGAAGUAUUAUCAAGAAUCGUGUUAAGUAUGGCACUAUUCGAAAUGAAUAUUCAUUAAAUAAAGACAAAAUCAUUUAAUCUUCUUUCAAUUGUCAAUUCUGUAUGUACUACUACUACCUUAUUUAUUUGACUUGAUAUGGUUUGUUAAAUUAUAAGAUAAUGCCUCUUUAUUUGGAAAGCUUUCAAUGUUUUGAAACUGAGUAUUUAAAAAUGAAUUAUUAAAAGAAUUAUGAAAAAUCAUGGCUGAUGUCAAAGUUAUGUUUGAUUUUGCCAAUUUUGUGUUGAUAUUUAAUAUACAUGUACUUACAUGCUCAUAAGUGUUGACAUUUGUUUUUGAACAUAAUAGUUUUUUAUGUUUUAUAUCGUGUAUAUACACAUUUACAAGUCCAAAUUUUCAUCCUCUCAAUCACUCAGUAACUUUACCAACAAUAAAUGUUGGAUCUCUGUAUAUAGGUAAAUUGUGCAAUUGAUAUAUAGAGCAACUGCAACAAAUCAGUCAGUUACAAAUCAAGGCAGAGUGAUGUAAUAUGCUGGCAAUUGUUAAGUAGUGCAGUUGUCUCUUUUUGUUCUCAGGUUAGAGCAAUAGUGUUUGCUUCAAAAAUAAAAACACAGUCUCCCUUGUAAGAAAAUUAAUGUGUUCACAUCUCAACAUAACAAGUAAAUUCAUAGAGAAAAUCAAAUUAUUUACAUGAUAUACUCGACAAUUAGUCUAAUGGAAUUUGUAGAAUAAAAAAUAACAUGUAAUUAUGACGAUUAUAAGUGAAUGUUUGACACAAAAUGUCUCUUCAGAAAUGUGCAUAUUUUAAUGAUAAAUCUAUACAUUGUACUUGCUGUACUUUUUAUAGUAUAUUUUAUGAACGUGCAGCUGAUAAGUGAAUGUGACAAUUUACGAGUUAUGUUACAAUUUGUUUCACGUUGACAUGGCAACAUAAGCUGUUAAUGGAGUGCAUUCACUGCGGCCAGUUUCCAGAAAUCUCCCAAUUAAAAAACACCAGAAAAUAUCUUAAGAUCAGAUAGUUUGGUUGUUCACAUUAGUUUUGAUUUAUUUAUUGAUUGUGUUAUGCCUUGUACUCUUAAUUUGUUAUCAAAUAUUUAAGUUUAUAUGACUUGAAGAGACUUACAUGUUUAUUUUAUUGAUGUGUUUGUGCUGAUUUCUUGCAUUCUGAUUAAAGAAUAUUCAAGUGGAAAAAGAAUAUUAUUAUGCAUUGAAAGUGUGUUGUGAUUUCAAAUAAAAAUACUAUGAAAAUAUA